CCUACGGGUGGCUGCAGUGGGGAAUAUUGGACAAUGGGGGGAACCCUGAUCCAGCCAUGCCGCGUGUGUGAAGAAGGCCCUCGGGUUGUAAAGCACUUUCAGUGAGGAAGAACGCCUGGUGGUUAAUACCCAUCAGGAAAGACAUCACUCACAGAAGAAGCACCGGCUAACUCCGUGCCAGCAGCCGCGGUAAUACGGAGGGUGCGAGCGUUAAUCGGAAUUACUGGGCGUAAAGCGCGCGUAUGUGGCUUGAUAAGCCGGUUGUGAAAGCCCCGGGCUCAACCUGGGAACGGCAUCCGGAACUGUCAAGCUAGAGUGCAGGAGAGGAAGGUAGAAUUCCCGGUGUAGCGGUGAAAUGCGUAGAGAUCGGGAGGAAUACCAGUGGCGAAGGCGGCCUUCUGGACUGACACUGACACUGAGGUGCGAAAGCGUGGGUAGCAAACAGGAUUAGAUACCCUGGUAGUC
rnacentral:rRNA from 1 species